GAGGGUAUAGCUCAAAGUGAUAGAGUGCAUGCUUGGCAUGUAUGAGGUCCUGGUUUCAAUCCCCAGUAUCUCCU
rnacentral:tRNA from 1 species